AAGAUGUCGUUGUCAAGAAAACAACUCAAAAUGUUUGCUUCAAUGAAAGUAUUGGAAGAAAUAAAUAAUUUGGUGGAAGAGGAAAAUAAACGGAAGGUAGUGCGAAGAUAUUGGAUGAAGCCAUUAUUAGUAACAAGGAUGGAGCACGACUUGGAGGCUCAUUUGCUCAAUGAUCUGGUAUGGGAAGACGACGAUAGCGACUUCAGAAACUUUACCCGCAUUAAUUUACUUAAGUUUGAAGAGCUACUAAAAAUGGUGCACAAUCGCAUAAAGAAAAGUGACACGGUAAUGCGAGUAGCUAUUGCACCACGAGUUAAAUUGUGUAUCACGUUACGAUAUAUAGCUACAGGAGACUCAUAGAAAUCGUUGGAGUUCUUGUCCAGGGUUUCUAGAAACACAAUAGGCGUCUUUGUGCCUGAAGUUCUAGAAGCCAUAUAUGAAAGUCUUCAAGAUAAGCAUUUAAAAGUGAGUUACAUGCGUU